CCUACGGGUGGCAGCAGUGAGGAAUAUUGGUCAAUGGACGAGAGUCUGAACCAGCCAAGUAGCGUGAAGGAUGACUGCCCUAUGGGUUGUAAACUUCUUUUAUAAAGGAAUAAAACGAGGCACGUGUGCCUUUUUGCAUGGACUUUAUGAAUAAGGAUCGGCUAACUCCGUGACAGCAGCCGCGUUAAUACGGAGGAUCCGACCGUUAUCCGGAUUUAUUGGGUGUAAAGGGAGCGUAGAUGGGUUGUUAAGUCAGUUGUGAAAGUUUGCGGCUCAACCGGAACAUUGCAAUUGAUACUGGCAGUCUUGAGUAAAGUUGAGGUAGGCGGAAUUCGUGGUGUAGCAGUGAAAUGCUUAGAUAUCACGAAGAACCCCGAUUGCGAAGGCAGCUUACUAAACUGUGACUGACAUUGAUGCUCGAAAGUGUGGGUAUCAAACAGGAUUAGAUACCCGUGUAGUC
rnacentral:rRNA from 1 species